rnacentral:rRNA from 1 species
AACUUUCAACAACGGAUCUCUUGGUUCUGGCAUCGAUGAAGAACGCAGCGAAAUGCGAUAAGUAGUGUGAAUUGCAGAAUUCAGUGAACCAUCGAAUCUUUGAACGCACAUUGCGCCCCUUGGUAUCCCGAGGGGCAUGCCUGUUCGAGCGUCAUUUC